AGAACCCAUUGCCUGCAGUCUUUGAUACACACUAUUCUGAUAAAUGAAUGAGACUGUGAGGAGUGUUAAUUUAAGAUAUUAACCCUUUUAUGUCUUAGGGUAAUACCCAGUGUCUUUUUACUCAGGAGAUAUUCAAUCAGUAGGGAUUCAAUACAUGAGUGUCGUAUAUUUGUGUUUUAACCGGGUCUGUCUGAGAUGCAGUGAAUGUUCAGUUAGCCUGGGCAGCCUUCUUUCUUGUCGUCUGCAGCGCUGGAAUCUGGGAGCUUCCUUCUGGUCACUCAGCAGGGACAACGAGGCCUCUACCCCCACAUCACUGUUCUCUCAGGUACAUGCCUCCCCCAUCACUUUCCACCUCUCGAGGAACUGGCGCAGCCCAGGAUUUCGCAAUGAUUAGAACUGAACCCCAAUAAGCUACCCAAGAAAAACAGUGAGCCUUUUAAGGGGCUCAGAAGUCAGAGAAAAGAAUCAGAACACAGGGAAUACAUGUUCUGGAACAAGAGGACACAAACACCAGCUUAGCAACUGCAGCAAGUACAAUGAACCAGCCAGACCACCGGACAAGAGCCAACAUGACAGAUACCCAGACUUCAGAGAGGGAAAACAGCAUGGUCAAAAUGACAACUGAGAAUACGGUGGCCAGCCUUGGUCAGAAUAGUGCUGACCUGUGCAGAGAUGCAGGAACUGAAGCUGAGAACGCCUAUACAACAUGCCCACAGGCUUAUGGUCUUCUCUCCAGUCCUCCUCACCUUCAGGCUGAAGAGCUGCAGAAAGUCAUGGCAUUUAUCCUGCAUUUUUCUCCAUUUGCCUUGCAAAUAAAUGCCGACAACACGAAAAAAAAAUAGUUGAAAUAAAAA
rnacentral:lncRNA from 1 species